CAGGGUUUGGAGACUGAGCAGACGGAACAAGUAGCU
rnacentral:sRNA from 1 species